GACGAACGCUGGCGGCGUGCCUAAUACAUGCAAGUUGAGCGCUGAAGGUUGGUACUUGUACCAACUGGAUGAGCAGCGAACGGGUGAGUAACGCGUGGGGAAUCUGCCUUUGAGCGGGGGACAACAUUUGGAAACGAAUGCUAAUACCGCAUAAAAACUUUAAACACAAGUUUUAAGAUUGAAAGAUGCAAUUGCAUCACUCAAAGAUGAUCCCGCGUUGUAUUAGCUAGUUGGUGAGGUAAAGGCUCACCAAGGCGAUGAUACAUAGCCGACCUGAGAGGGUGAUCGGCCACAUUGGGACUGAGACACGGCCCAAACUCCUACGGGAGGCAGCAGUAGGGAAUCUUCGGCAAUGGACGAAAGUCUGACCGAGCAACGCCGCGUGAGUGAAGAAGGUUUUCGGAUCGUAAAACUCUGUUGGUAGAGAAGAACGUUGGUGAGAGUGGAAAGCUCAUCAAGUGACGGUAACUACCCAGAAAGGGACGGCUAACUACGUG
rnacentral:rRNA from 1 species